AUUGAACGCUGGCGGCAUGCUUUACACAUGCAAGUCGAGCGGUAACAGGCCUUCGGGUGCUGCCGAGUGGCGAACGGGUGAGUAAUGCAUCGGAACGUACCCAGAGGUGGGGGAUAACGCAGCGAAAGCUGUGCUAAUACCGCAUGUGAUCUGAGGAUGAAAGCGGGGGACCGAGCAGCAAUGUUUGGCCUCGCGCCUUUGGAGCGGCCGAUGCCGGAUUCGCUAGGUGGUGGGGUAAAGGCCUACCAAGGCGGAGAUCCGUAGCUGGUCUGAGAGGAAGACCAGCCACACUGGGACUGAGACACGGCCCAGACUCCUACGGGAGGCAGCAGUGGGGAAUUUUGGACAAUGGGCGCAAGCCUGAUCCAGCAAUGCCGCGUGCGGGAAGAAGGCCUUCGGGUUGUAAACCGCUUUUGGCAGGAACGAAACGGUGUCCGCUAAUACCGGGCGCUAAUGACGGUACCUGCAGAAUAAGCACCGGCUAACUACGUG
rnacentral:rRNA from 1 species